ensembl:lncRNA
AAAAAAUCCUCAUAAUAUUUAAAAAAAGAAAAUUAAAUAUACCAUUCACAUUUGACAACUUCCUAUGUCCUUUCUUACGUCUGCAGUGGUAGAGUGCCUUAAAGUGACGGACAGAAGCAGGGGUACAGAGGGGCGCUUGCCUGCGGGGGAUGCUAAUUAUGCAUCUCCAAAUUAACCAACUUUCACUGGGACCCAACCUCCUUCUGAUGCACUCGGAGAGCGGGCGGAGAGGAGGGAGAGACGAAGAAAGAGCGGCGAAGCUGGAAAACAGAAACAAACCAAUAAUCUUGUACUUUGCCUCUUGAAGGCGAGCCACAGAGCCUCUACUAAUGUAGACAAGUCUGUUUUGCAGAAACCACUAACGCCCGCGGGGGACGGGGAACACAUCGCGGGCCGCCUCAUUUCAAAGAUCUUUUGCAAUCAGCUCCACAAUGGAGGCCCUCAUUUUAUGCUGCUACAUCAUAAAAGUGCUCUUUUGUUACAUUUCCAUCCUUAAAAGGGCCUUAAUCCCUUUCUUUUCAGGCACGUCUAUGGCAAAUUCCACAGGGACAUCCCAUUCGCUCCAAGGACUAGAGUGACCCACUCAGAAAGCAGCAUGCGAGGCUUUGAGCCUUUCUUCUCCUGCCACUCUUGUGAGAACAUUAAAUCGUACUUUUCAUUCCCCUCACUGUGGGGGGACGCCCCUUAAUGAUGACAGAGAAAGAGAAAUUCCUCCACUCGGGUCCUAUGAUACCAUUCUGCUGUCAAGCAGGCAUCUCGGUGGACAGAGAAUCAAACAUGGCUUCCUGCAGGUGGAGUGGCGAUGAAGGUCACACCGCAGCUCAGAGGAGCAGGGGGAGAGGCAGCACUUCAGAGUCGCCGCCAGCUUUCUCACAGCAAAUUAAGUCAUCUGUGAAAACGUCAGCGGCAGAGGCACCUGGAUGUUGAGGGUGUAAUGCGGUGGGAUUUAGGCAGGUGAAAAAGUCUGACAGUGUUCCUGCUGAUAGCUGGAUAGAGACCUCAACAACACAUGCCAAGCUUUGGGAGCAUUUUACCAUGAGUGUCACUCCUUUGUAAUGGAUUUUCUGUCUCCAAGGGUUUAGUAGUGAGCAGAAGAGACAAGGAAAUAUGGUAGUGUGUAUUGUGUGUACAGAAAAGCAAUUUCCACAUCUUCUUUUGUGAUCCCACACUGGAAAUUAAAGUCACGUGCAAGCCUUACAACAUGCUCACAUUAAACGCAUUCACCCUUUGUGGUGUACAAGAACAAGUACAGUUCGGUGACCUUGAGCCAGACUUCAUUCAGAUGCAUUGAUGAUGCUGAAAGUAGAGACAUCAUCAGUGUACUAUACUUAAAUUGCUAAAGGAAUGCUUGAAUUCCUUUAACCAGUAAGCACUCAAUGAAAGCUCAGCUAAUAAUUUUUUAACCCGCUUCUCACUUACUGUUAGGCCAACAUGUAUCCUGC